UACGUAGGCAGCGAGCGUUGUUCGGAAUUACUGGGCGUAAAGGGCGCGUAGGCGGCUCUGCACGUCCGUUGUGAAAUCGCCCGGCUCAACUGGGCGGGGUCAGCGGAUACGGCGGAGCUUGAGCAAGCUAGGGGGCAAUGGAAUUCCCGGUGUAGUGGUGGAAUGCGUAGAUAUCGGGAGGAACACCAGUGGCGAAGGCGGUUGCCUGGGGCUUUGCUGACGCUGAUGCGCGAAAGCGUGGGGAGCGAUCCGG
rnacentral:rRNA from 1 species